GUUGGGGAAGCCCUUUCUGCAGAUUCUGAUGCCCUCCAGCACACCGUUACAGCGCAGCUGGUGCAUGACCAGAGGAUUCUCCAUCGCCCCAGGAGUCUUAGUCUCAUUGGGGAUGAUGCAGCGCACAAAGUGAGGAAUGGGGAGCUGCAGUGUGGAGUGUUUUUGUGGCGGAUCACGGCCUCAUCUGAACCGAACUCAACAACCCGCAACCUACAUCCAAAACAACAAUGAACCAAAAGUACAACAGACCAUUCAACAACAGCACUGCGAGAGGUUUAAGAAAGAGUGUGUGUACCUGAUGACGGUGGGCAUGACUUCAGCCGUGAACAGAAUGGAGAGAGAAGCAGCCGCUUGAGAUGAGAACAAACCCAUUAUGGAGAACACCUUCAUGGCUCCAUCGCUCAGUCCAUGAGUCCGAGCAGGAUGAGCGAGGCCAGUCCUGUGAGGGUCAUGGCCAGCAGCAGGAUCCCCCUCCGGCCGCAGCGGUCCACUGUCGCCCACAGCAGCAGCCAGGCUCCGCCGCCAGCACACACCGACAGCAGGUACGUCCAGUAGAAGGUCGGAGGAGUUCCCCGAACAUCAUCACUGAAGGAGCUGUAGCAGUGACUGAUGCCAUGAGAGAUGAACCUGAGCACAACACACACACACUUACGCAUGCUUUUGCCUUUUCAAGUUGGCUUCAAAUCAAAAUGCACUCUUCUGUUUUCACAUGUAUAGAGUAGGGCUGGACAAUAGAUGGUUUCAGCAUUGAUAUCCUAUAGUGUAAUCAUGCGCAAUAGGCACAUCACAGCACGUGCAGUGUUGAAUGUGGGUUAUAAUUGAUCAUUCAUUCAUUUUCUUUUCCGUUUCUUAUAAAUAUGCAUACAGUGAA